GGUCAGUUCUGUUGUGUUUGAGAAGAUUGGAUAUGCAAUAAAAUUGAACAUUUCGAUGUUGGAAUGGUCUUCCAGUCAACUUUGGAGUCCGGAUGCCAUCUGAAAGGAAAGUAAAUAUCUUAAGGAAACUGUCCCAAGAACCUGUUGCCACUGCCAUUCCAUCAUCAGUAACGCCCAAGCAGCUAACACGGUUAUCAUGGCCUGCCAGGACACCUGCAAAACACACAACCCUCACAUAUUAAUCAAAGUUAAAAAAAAAAAAAAGUUUAAUCAAUUUCAUUUUUUAAUGCUGA